ensembl:lncRNA
CACCGGAUGUAUCGCUUCUCAACAGUUCCACAGUUCCACCACUAGAGGGCUAACAAUUAGAGCCUUUAAUAAUUAUUUUGAAACCAAACAUUUUAGAAAAAUGUUUGCUGUCCAAUACAAUUAGAAUUCAUGCUUAAAACAAACUAUAAAAAACAGAAUAUGACACAGGGAAAUAUUACCACAAAGUAUAUACUUUAUUUUAGGCCAAUUUCAAAGUAUCAUAUGAAGAAAGAUAUAUUGUAACAGAAUUUGUUCUAAAACACAUGCACAUUUCUAUCAAAAAAAAAAAAAAAAAAAAAAAAAAAGAACAGAUCAUUACUGAAUAUAAAUUCAUUUCAUGUGCAUUUAGAAAACUCUAAAUACAAAAUCCUUUAACUUGUGAUUAGUUCUACUGCUACAAUGAGAGUCAACAGCUAAUAUGCUCUGACAAUUACACACUAAGCAUAAAAUCAGGUCUGUGUGACAAAAUGCAUUGAUGCAUUAAAACGAAAACUAGCCGUGCAAUACGAGCACUGUGGUGUACCACUCAUUUUAGUUGCAUUGUUCUCACCAACACUGUUCAUCCAUCUUAAAAAUCCAUCAGCACGUGACUUAAUAUUCAGUAAAAUCAAAACUAAAAAGAGGUUUCUCAUGAAUUAAAAAAAAAAAAAAAAAAAAAAAAAAAUAAUAAUAUAUAUAUAUAUAUAUAUAUAUAUAUAUAUAUAUAUAUAUAUAUAUAUAUAUAUAUAUAUAUUCCAUCAAGUUAAUGCUACCCAUUUAGUAUUGGUUGGCAACAGAAUCAGUGUGACAUCCUGCAAAGCCUAAACCAGGGGCACACGCAGCAGGCUGAUUAUUCAAAGGUUACUGCAGUAAUGCAAAUAUGUAGUCAUUGUGUAAACAUCAAAAAAUAACGUGAUUAUGUGAGAAUUGUCAGUGUGUUGUCUCAACUGCGGCCGAGUAUGUAAACAUGUGAGUGCUUGUAGAAGAAUCGCUCUUUUCUCCGCUCUGAAACCUCAUCCUUAAAAAUCUCAAGGUUAGUCACUCGAAACAACCAUCCCAAACAGAAGGGGAGGGAAAAAAAACUCUCUCAGCUAGACGUGCCCAUUAACACUUAAAACAUGUUCUCAUUAUUAGCUUAUACAGUUUGUUCAAACACAGGCUGAUUUACAAAUCAUACCGUUUCUGGUCUCUAAAGAUAGAAGCAAAAUACAAGUUUUUAGUGUCAUUACAAAAACAUCUUUGGAAUCUGCAUCAACAAUUCCUGACUGAGAUAUCUGAUUGUUUCUUUAUUAUGCCACCCCCCCCCCAAAAAAAACCCAAAACAAAACAAAAAAACAAAACAAAACACAGGCAAAAGGAAAAACUCACCACCAUCAGUCACACACUGAUCCUCUACUCUACCCCUUAACAUGACUCUUAAACCUGCUAAAACUUGUCCUGGCUGCAGUCUAUAAACCUUUCAUUUAAAACACUCAACACAGCGUCGCAUAGACGGGAGGGGCGGGGGGGUUCCAACAUUGUAACUGUUGUAUACUGUAUGUGGUCAUAAGGUUUCAUUGAUCAAAGAGCUAUACUUUGUUCUGAGCCAAGAGACCUGCCUUUUUGGUUAAUGUUCAGGAAAGACAGUGAAAAAAAAAGCUGCAUGUGAAUAUCAAAAAUACAAUAACAUUAAAGUGGAUACAGUAAAGCAGAGACGAGAGAAUCAGAUAAAUGGGUUUAAAAAGAGUCCAAACAGAAUCAGACCACCAAGAUUAAGUCCUGGCUGGUUUGAUCUCAUUGAAGUGUCGUGCUGCGAUAUAACAGACGACCCCGUCUAAAAAAAAUAAAAUAAAAUGAUUCAAUCCAUGUAUGAAAGAAGGAAAAAAAAGAAAGUAAAAUGCCAUUUGAUCUAAACUAUCAUACAUAUAUAGUUAUCUAAAAAUAGAACACUAAAAAAGAUAAAACGACGAAUGGAUUGUGAAUCAGGCUGGGAACCCCAAACAUACAAUUUUGAUCAUUGAACAUUAGAGGGAAGUAUGCCUGCCGUUUACGGGAACAGCAGUGUGCUUGUCGCUGAAUUAUAGAAAUGUGGGUAUUUAUUCGUGUCGCUCGCAUCUCAAAAUAAAAAAAAAUAAAAAAAAUACAACUGAAGGCACUUGAUCUAUCAAAGGUUUAACUUAGACUUGCUGGCACAGCCAAGCAGCGGUGCAGUCAAUCCGCAGGUUCGAACCCCUCCCACCCCCACCCCAAGCAACAUGGGCCUCACGUUACCUUUACUCCAAAUCAGUAUUGUUCUUUAUGCUCCAAAUACAUCAUUUUUGGUUUUUCAGGCUUGUUGAAAAAAACAAAACAACAACAACAAAAAGAAUAAAAACAUGAGGCCAAAUAUAAAGCUACUAGCUAGAUGCAAAAGUCCCAAAUACAGUUAAGUAGUGAUGCGUCACGCUAUUUUGCAAGAAAGAGGCUCCAGAGACUCCAGGGGAUAACUGAUCAGGGCAGAAGAGUGGAAGCACCUGCCCAGUGGGUAAAUAUGCCCUAGAUUCACUGACAGGCCUGUGAAAGAUUUGGGGACCCUUGCAUAAUUGUCUGUUCAUA